CGCUAGUAAUCGCAGAUCAGCAUGCUGCGGUGAAUACGUUCCCGGGUCUUGUACACACCGCCCGUCACACCAUGGGAGUCGGAAAUGCCCGAAGUCGGUGACCCAACCGGAAGGAGGGAGCCGCCGAAGGCAGGUCUGAUAACUGGGGUGAAGUCGUAACAAGGUAUC
rnacentral:rRNA from 1 species